rnacentral:ncRNA from 2 species
CUCUUAUCGAGAGUGGUGGAGGGAUGUGCCCUAUGAAGCCCGGCAACCGUCUUAGGAUAUGGUGCCAAGUCACAUGAAAUCUUUUGGAUUUCUGAAGAUGAGAG